rnacentral:rRNA from 1 species
GCUUGCACUUGGGGAUUAGUGGCGAACGGGUGAGUAACACGUGAGUAACCUGCCCUGGACUCUGGGAUAACCCCGAGAAAUCGGAGCUAAUACCGGAUAGGACCCUUCACCGCAUGGUGCGGGGUGGAAAGUUUUUCGGUCUGGGAUGGACUCGCGGCCUAUCAGCUUGUUGGUGAGGUAAUGGCUCACCAAGGCGUCGACGGGUAGCCGGCCUGAGAGGGUGACCGGCCACACUGGGACUGAGACACGGCCCAGACUCCUACGGGAGGCAGCAGUGGGGAAUAUUGCACAAUGGGCGAAAGCCUGAUGCAGCAACGCCGCGUGCGGGAUGACGGCCUUCGGGUUGUAAACCGCUUUUAGUAAGGAAGAAGCCGCAAGGUGACGGUACUUGCAGAAAAAGGACCGGCUAACUACGUGCCAGCAGCCGCGGUAAUACGUAGGGUCCGAGCGUUGUCCGGAAUUAUUGGGCGUAAAGAGCUCGUAGGCGGUUUGUCGCGUCUGCUGUGAAAACUAGAGGCUCAACCUCUAGCCUGCAGUGGGUACGGGCA